AGCCUGCAGUGGUCACGUGGUACAAGUCGUAGCUCUCAGAAAACUCCCAGUUCAUGAGUUGUCAUUAGGAGUUCUACGAGGACGUGAACGCUUUUUAGAAGUUGGAAUCUCGUAAUUACGGGAAUUCCGAUAUGGCGUGAACGCAGCAUUAGUUAAUCACUUGAUGGGUGUUUAUAUUCGCUUAACCAAAAUCAAAACAAGCAAACUACACAGUGCAACAGACGAGUGGGAAAUCAAAGACUGGAAUGCUGGGAGAACGCUGGGGAAACUGACAAAGGGGUGAGCUCUGGAAAGGAGGACGGAUACUUCCUGUUCCUGCUGGAGUGACCUGCAGGUCUGAGGAGGAGUGAGGGAGAGGAAGGCAGAGAAAGCGAUACCCUGUGAAACCUGCUGGUGUAAACUUACCUCUGAUUGGGACUCACUGAUGUAAUGGACAAACAAGCACAAAAUGUGUCGAUACCCACAUCAAAUCUCCCAGGUUUCUUUUACAGUGAUUUGCGUACAGCUUCACCCUUGGCCAGAGUGCAGUUGUGAAACUGGAAGUGACAGUGCCAGAAGCUCUAGUGGUGUUGGUUGUGUUCUGGAAGAGCUGAGGGACACAACGGCUACCAUGCACAUCUGCAUCCUGUAUGUGGCUGAGGGGGGUGAGUUAACACACAGAGACAGCCAGAACCCUUAACUGCAGUGACGGUCAGUGCCAUGGGACAAUGUGCGUGCAGGGUGAAUCCUGGGUCAGGAACUGUUUCCUGCUCUGGGUCUCACUCUCGUCUCUCAGACAGCUAGGCACUCCAUGCACAACUGGCUAUUUGCUUACGUGCCAACCUUGACAACAUAUAGGCCCUGCGUGACACUUUUGUGAGUUUGGGUGCAUAUUUAGAAAAAAAGAUCAGAUUUGUGUCAGUUUUCUUUUCAUGCUGUUCACUUUCAGGGUUUGGAUCCUCCUUAGCCAGCAGAAAUUCAUCUAGAAUUUGUUAAAUUGUGGUUUAAUUAAGCAUCAGACCCCAUCACUUUGUUAUAACUCAGCAAACCCCCUCCUUUUUCCAUUCACAGC
rnacentral:lncRNA from 1 species